rnacentral:rRNA from 1 species
AACGAACGCUGGCGGCGUGCCUAACACAUGCAAGUCGAGCGCGAAAGGAGCAAUCCGAGUAGAGCGGCGCACGGGUGCGUAACACGUGGAUAAUCUGCCUCAGGGUUGAGGAUAACCUUCCGAAAGGUUGGCUAAUACUCGGUAAGCUUACGGUGACUUCGGUCGCUGUGUGAAAACUAGACCUCUAUUUAUAAGUUUAGGCCCAGAGAUGAGUCCGCGGCCCAUCAGCUAGUUGGCGGGGUAACGGCCCACCAAGGCUACGACGGGUAGCUGGUCUGAGAGGACGAUCAGCCAAACUGGAACUGAGACACGGUCCAGACUCCUACGGGAGGCAGCAGUGGGGAAUUUUCUACAAUGGGCGAAAGCCUGAUGGAGCAACGCCGCGUGUGUGAUGAAGGUCUUCGGAUCGUAAAGCACUUUCGACUGGGACGAAAAACCUUUGGCUAACAUCCAGGGGCCUGACGGUACCAGGAGGAGAAGCACCGGCUAACUCUGUGCCAGCAGCCGCCGUAAUAC